rnacentral:rRNA from 11 species
CCCUGAGGAGGUGGGAUAGGAGGAGGAAAAGGCGGCAUUCCUCCCAUGUUCGGCAUAUGGAAAGGAGGCGGGUUCUGCUGAAAGAAGCCCUGUGGCGGAGGAUAGGGAUGCUGAGGAGGAGGCUGAUUGUGUGGUAUAUGCCCACCGGGCCC